rnacentral:lncRNA from 1 species
AUGGCUUUUGGUCGAGAAGGUCAAAACUGCUAUUUAAAGCCCACCGUAACCGUGAAUGUUUGCUGUGGCACCGCAUCCCCCGUUCAAGAGGAAAAAAAAAAGGGCAAACACGCUCCGCGAGAGCAUCUCCGGUUGCUUGCACAAACGAAGGUUUCCAGCACAGGGCGUGGGGUUUGGGGGGGCGGGGGGGGGGGGAUAGAUCAGGGCUCGAAAAUAAGCCAGGAGAAGCCCGCAGCCGCGGAGACAGCGCCGGAGGGAUGGAGGCCUCGCCCGGCAGUGCCCGGGGCGGAGGGAGGCGGGGGGGGGGAGGGCCUCCGGGAGCCGAGACCCCGCGGGGUCUGGCGGAGGGGCCCCCGAUCGGUCCCGGAUCCCUGGACCUCCAGGUUACGCCCCCACUGCUUAAACGCGUUAACGUCCAGCCCUCGCCUCCCUCACCCCCGAAACACCCCCAGCAUCGCUCCCCACAGCCCGCAGCCCUUGACCCCGACGCCGACUGGACCGCGACGGCGCCCUCUCCAGGCCGCGGUGGAGGACACAGGCCAGGCCGCCAGCCCCGCAGCGGCGGCGGCGGCGGCCCCGGGCAGCGCGAUCCCGGGGGAGGAUGGCAGCUGGGCUGGGGCCUGUCCCCCCUCCCCGCCCCCAGGGGCAGCGUGCGCAGGGCCGCGAGUGGGCAGCGCCUCCGCCCCGCACGAACAAAGCGGCCGCGGCGAGCGGGGCGGGGGGGUCGGGGGGCACUCACCGGAGGGCGGGUGGGCGCGGGCUGGCCCGGCCGGGAGCGGGGACCGUGGCGGGCCGGGGGGCGCGCUGGCGACGGGGAGGGGGCGGCAGGCGCGGCGUCCACGGCGGGGCCCGGGAGCCCCGCGGUGCGGGGGGGAGAUGGGGCUGCGGGCCGCGAUCGAGGCUGCGGCCACGGGGUGCGGGAGCCGGUCGGCCGGGGCCGUGCAGCGAGCGGCGCUAGGCGGCCGGGGCAGCGACGCCGCCGCCACCGCCUCCUCUUCCUUCUCCGGCCCCGCUCCCUGCUCCCCCGCGUCGUUCUCCUCCUCCUCGCUGGGUCCCCGCCGCCGCCGCCGCCGCCGCCUCAGCUUCGGCGCUUCUCGGUCUUCUCCUCUCCAUCAAGGCCGGGCCGCCCCGCAGGGACCAUCCCGGGAAGUGAGGGGCUGUUGCCGUUCCCCGCAGCGGUUGGUGGCCAUCUUUAAUCCUCCUCCUUUCUCCACCUCCCGCUGCUGCCUGACUGACUGA